ACAGCAGUCGCCGCGGGAAUACGAAGGGUGCAAGCGUUACUCGGAAUUACUGGGCGUAAAGCGUGCGUAGGUGGUGGUUUAAGUCCGUUGUGAAAGCCCUGGGCUCAACCUGGGAAUUGCAGUGGAUACUGGGUCACUAGAGUGUGGUAGAGGAUAGUGGAAUUUCCGGUGUAACAGUGAAAUGCGUAGAGAUCGGAAGGAACAUCUGUGGCGAAGGCGACUAUCUGGGCCAACACUGACACUGAGGCACGAAAGCGUGGGGAGCAAACAGGAUUAGAGACCCGAGUAGUCCCUGUCUCUUAUAC
rnacentral:rRNA from 1 species